AACGCUGGCGGCGUGCCUAAUACAUGCAAGUCGAGCGAACAGAUAAGGAGCUUGCUCCUUUGACGUUAGCGGCGGACGGGUGAGUAACACGUGGGUAACCUACCUAUAAGACUGGAAUAACUCCGGGAAACCGGGGCUAAUGCCGGAUAACAUUUAGAACCGCAUGGUUCUAAAGUGAAAGAUGGUUUUGCUAUCACUUAUAGAUGGACCCGCGCCGUAUUAGCUAGUUGGUAAGGUAACGGCUUACCAAGGCAACGAUACGUAGCCGACCUGAGAGGGUGAUCGGCCACACUGGAACUGAGACACGGUCCAGACUCCUACGGGAGGCAGCAGUAGGGAAUCUUCCGCAAUGGGCGAAAGCCUGACGGAGCAACGCCGCGUGAGUGAUGAAGGUCUUCGGAUCGUAAAACUCUGUUAUUAGGGAAGAACAAAUGUGUAAGUAACUAUGCACGUCUUGACGGUACCUAAUCAGAAAGCCACGGCUAACUACGUGCCAGCAGCCGCGGUAAUACGUAGGUGGCAAGCGUUAUCCGGAAUUAUUGGGCGUAAAGCGCGCGUAGGCGGUUUCUUAAGUCUGAUGUGAAAGCCCACGGCUCAACCGUGGAGGGUCAUUGGAAACUGGGAAACUUGAGUGCAGAAGAGGAAAGUGGAAUUCCAUGUGUAGCGGUGAAAUGCGCAGAGAUAUGGAGGAACACCAGUGGCGAAGGCGACUUUCUGGUCUGUAACUGACGCUGAUGUGCGAAAGCGUGGGGAUCAAACAGGAUUAGAUACCCUGGUAGUCCACGCCGUAAACGAUGAGUGCUAAGUGUUAGGGGGUUUCCGCCCCUUAGUGCUGCAGCUAACGCAUUAAGCACUCCGC
rnacentral:rRNA from 1 species